UCGAAACAACUAUUAAAUUUAUACAGUUAUAUAAACUAAAUUCGUGUCUAUGGAACUUUAAAUCACCUGAAUACAAGAUAAAGCAAAAACGGGAUGCAGCAUAUAAUUCCAUAGUUAAUGGAAUGAAUAUAACGGGAUUCGGUACACUAGAAGUUAAAAACAAAAUAAAAAUUUAUGGUCGACGUACCAACAAGAAAAUAAAAAAAUUCAAGAAUCGAAGAAAUCCGGAGCGGGUCAGUAAUGUGUACACUUCAAAUAUUAAAUGGCUGAAAGUGAUGGAAGAGGUGUUUUCAAAAGAUUUAAACAAAUUUUUUUUUUGAAAACAUUCCUGGUACUAAUGAAGACACAGCUUCUCAGAACAGUAGCUCUGCUACAUCUUCGCAUCCAAACAUCAACCAGGAAGUAUUAGCUAAUACAAGCAACGACCAGCAAGCACCACUUACUGUAACUACGACUGCCACUGGAAAUACUGCGAGAGCUAAAAAGAGAACUAAAGAAAUUUUUCAAGCUGUUUCUGAUCUCAAAAAGUUAAAUGAUGGGAUAAAUUCUGAGAGUGAAACCGUAUUUGAUGUGUUUGGAAGGAGUGUUGCGUUACAACUUAAGAAUUUAUCGGCAGAGAAUGCUCUAAUAGCACAAAGUAGAAUCCAGAAUAUUCUGACAGAAUUUGGGAUAAAAGAACUUAGACAAAGAACUACUUCGUCUUUUUCUAAUCACAGCUACCAAACACCGUCUUCUGUAUAUUCAGACACGACUAAUGACUAUUAUGUUUAAUUACUUAAAUUUAAUUACGUUUGAUGAAACUUAUGUGGAUUCUCCGCCACAACUACCAACACCAGCUCCCUCUACAUCGCAAACAAUCUUUGCUGCAACAUCUACUCCAGUGCCUAAUGUCAACGCUACGCCAGAUUCUAUAAGCACUAAUGACAUCGUAGCAGCUGCGAUGUUUGCAGCUAUGGAAACAGAUGGAAGACAACAAGUUUGAUUUUUAUUUUUGUCUUUUUUGUACCCUUUGUUUGAAAUUAAUAAAAAAGUAAUAAAUUCA